UACAGAGGGUGCAAGCGUUGUUCGGAAUUAUUGGGCGUAAAGCGCGUGUAGGCGCAGUGCAAGUCGGGUGUGAAAGCCCUCAGCUCAACUGAGGAAGUGCGCCCGAAACUGCAUUGCUUGAGUACCGGAGAGGAUGGUGGAAUUCCCGAAGUAGAGGUGAAAAUUCGUAGAUAUCGGGAGGAACACCGGUGGCGAAGGCGACCAUCUGGACGGAUACUGACGCUGAGACGCGAAAAGCGUGGGUAGCAAAACAGGG
rnacentral:rRNA from 1 species